rnacentral:rRNA from 1 species
GAUGAACGCUGGCGGCGUGCCUAAUACAUGCAAGUCGAGCGAACAGACGAGGAGCUUGCUCCUCUGACGUUAGCGGCGGACGGGUGAGUAACACGUGGAUAACCUACCUAUAAGACUGGGAUAACUUCGGGAAACCGGAGCUAAUACCGGAUAAUAUAUUGAACCGCAUGGUUCAAUAGUGAAAGACGGUUUUGCUGUCACUUAUAGAUUGAUCCGCGCCGCAUUAGCUAGUUGGUAAGGUAACGGCUUACCAAGGCAACGAUGCGUAGCCGACCUGAGAGGGUGAUCAGCCACACUGGAACUGAGACACGGUCCAGACUCCUACGGGAGGCAGCAGUAGGGAAUCUUGCGCAAUGGGCGAUAGCCUGACGGAGCAACGCCGCGUGAGUGAUGAAGGUCUUCGGAUCGUAAAACUCUGUUAUUAGGGAAGAACAAAUGUGUAAGUAACUAUGCACGUCUUGACGGUACCUAAUCAGAAAGCCACGGCUAACUACGUG